rnacentral:rRNA from 1 species
GAUGAACGCUGGCGGCGUGCCUAAUACAUGCAAGUCGAGCGAACGGACGAUAAUUUUGCUUCUCUGAUGUUAGCGGCGGACGGGUGUGUCACACGUGUAUAACCUACCUAUCUUUCUGGUAUAUCUUCGGGAAUCCGGAUCUUAUACCGGAUAAUAUUAUGAUCCGCAUGGUUCAUAAGUGAAAUACGGUCUUUCUGUCUCUUAUAGAUGGUUCCGCGCUUCUUUAGCUUGUUGGUAAGGUAACGGCUUACCAAGGCAAGGAUGCAUAGCCGACCUGAGAGGGUGAUCGGCCACACUGGAACGGAGACACGGACCAGACGACUACGGGAGGCAGCAGUAGGCAAUCUUCCGCAAUGGGCGAAAGCAUGACAGAGCAACGCGACGUGAGAGAUGAAAGUCUUCGGAUCGGAAAACUCGGUUAUUAGGGAAGAACAGAUGUGUAAGUAAAUGUACACAUAGUGACGGUACCGAAUCAGAAAGCAACGGCUAACUACGUG